rnacentral:rRNA from 1 species
UACGUAGGGUGCGAGCGUUGUCCGGAAUUAUUGGGCGUAAAGAGCUCGUAGGCGGUCUGUCGCGUCUGCUGUGAAAACCCGAGGCUCAACCUCGGGCCUGCAGUGGGUACGGGCAGACUAGAGUGCGGUAGGGGAGAAUGGAAUUCCUGGUGUAGCGGUGAAAUGCGCAGAUAUCAGGAGGAACACCGAUGGCGAAGGCAGGUCUCUGGGCAUUAACUGACGCUGAGGAGCGAAAGCAUGGGGAGCGAACAGG